ensembl:lncRNA
CUGAUGUUAAAAACACUGAAAAAUUUAGCAAGAAGAGACGAAUGGAGAGACAUAAGUCUGAGACCAAGGAACGAAAGGCGUGCAGCCCCCUUAGUAUUUGCGCUCAUUAAUUAAUAAUAGCAUGUUUUCAGGAACUGAAAGGAUGUGUUUCCUGAACUGACUGGAAUUCACUUAUGUCCCAAUUACAUUGUCUCAGUGAAGAACUUCGGUCAGGUCUUGAAGAGUCGCAGCAAGAGUGCAAACCAAACCAGACUCCCACUCAGACCAUCCCAGCUCCAAGGAUAUGUAAAACAGCAGAAAUCUCAUGCCAGGGCUCAAACCCAGAGACCAGGUUGUCUCUUCCUCUGCCACCCCUGCUGCAAACUCCUCUGGAAGCAGUCAAGCAGAUUUGCAUCAGUGAGUCACCAAAUGUAUGGAUAUGUAUUAGAAUAAAUGUAAUUACAACUGUUGGCCCCAAAGCAUUGGGCAAACAUUUUAACAGACUCAUUCCUUUACUCCAAAUAGAAGAAUUAACAUGAAGAGUGAACUAUCUGACCCCAUAUCAACUCUUCCCCAAAGAUACCAGGUCUGCCUCUUUCAAGGAACACCCCAAUCCAGCCUGCUUUUUGACACCAUUAUCCCAGCACAGUGUCUGCCUCUUAAAAAACAGUGGAGAAUUUCUGAGUUAACACAUUCCACGCUAAAAUCCAUGCCUGCAAUAACCACAGAGCCUUUUGCUCUGUCAUUGUUGCUCCAGCUGAUCUACUCAUGGGAAGGACUACCCAAGCAUCUCAUCAGCACUGAACUGCAGUUUCUGGAUCAUGUGAGAAUUUGGACCCCAGCUGGAUUGUUGCAGAGGAAAGCAAAGCAAAUGGCAAAUGGAAUGAAAUGGACCCAGUCACACAAAGAAUAUGUGUGGGUGAGAGAUUCAGGAGGCUGAUCCCUCAACUGCGGACUAGUAGGUCCCAUUUGAUGUCCAGCUUUUUCAGCAGAGCUGGCUGCCACAUUGUGGCCUGUUCCCCUGAACGUCACAUCUGGCAGAUGUAAAACACACAUGUUUUGACUGAAGCUUUUUCUUUAAAAUGCCAACAUUAAAGGAAGGCUUGCUUUGUAAAACUGAAACUGUAAAACUCUUCUGAAACCCAGUCUGGGGGAUUAAAAGAACCACAUGAAAAGGGAUAAAUAUGACCUGGACAUUUACUUCCUGUGCAGAAGUUCGCUGAACAUGUGCCUCCCAGCCUGUCAGAGCAAAACAAGACCUUCUGCUCUUAUUCUCAGAAGAGAAAGGAAAAAAAACAGAAGAGAGGAAGACAUGACAACUCUUUUCUAUUUCAUGGCUUAUGUCAGAUACAUUGACAGUUCUCUACAGUGGCAUUUCAUGCACCUUAAAACCAGAAAGGUACACGACUAGUAACAAGAAAUUUAGUAUUAACAAACUAUUCUUAUUUGUACUAUAAGCUUGAUCCAUUUUUAAUUGGCAAUCAGGGACAGAAAUCCUUUGGGUUUCAGUGGGAGUAAGAUCAGACCUUAAGAUAGAAUGGACUGAGUCCAAGGAUUCUCUGAUGAUGUACAGAAGAAAAAAAUGGAUAGACAGAGCUUCAGUUAGUCAGAAAAUGGCUCACUUUCAAACAAAUGCAAGAUGUUUAUAUCAGCAUUGUCCAUUUCAAGUAUUUAAAGUAAUUUUUGGGUUCCAAAACAACUUUACUUAAAUAUUGAGACUUGAAAGGACAAAAAAAAUCACUUAUAGAUUCUCUGUAUUUCUUUCCUAGGUUUUGAAUCUUCAAGAAGACAUCACUUUUUUUCUGGUUUCCUUUACUAAUAAUGAAUUGCUAGAAGCUUGAUUAUGUUUAAAACUGAAACUGACAUUGUGAUUUAUUACAGUAUGAUUUCAGAAGACAAGAGUUGGGAGGAAAAAUCAUAUAAAAGCAGGCAAUACAUUA